rnacentral:misc_RNA from 1 species
GAUGAAGAACGCAGCGAAAUGCGAUAAGUAGUGUGAAUUGCAGAAUUCAGUGAAUCAUCGAAUCUUUGAACGCACAUUGCGCCCCUUGGUAUUCCAUGGGGCAUGCCUGUUCGAGCGUCAUUUGUACCUUCAAGCUUUGCUUGGUGUUGGGUGUUUGUCUCGCCUCUGCGUGUAGACUCGCCUUAAAACAAUUGGCAGCCGGCGUAUUGAUUUCGGAGCGCAGUACAUCUCGCGCUUUGCACUCAUAACGACGACGUCCACAAGUACAUUUUUACACUCUUGACCUCGGAUCAGGUAGGGAUACCCGCUGAACUUAAGCAUAUCAAUAAGCGGAGGA